CAACGACUCUCGGCAACGGAUAUCUCGGCUCUCGCAUCGAUGAAGAACGUAGCGAAAUGCGAUACUUGGUGUGAAUUGCAGAAUCCCGUGAACCAUCGAGUCUUUGAACGCAAGUUGCGCCCGAAGCCAUCCGGCCAAGGGCACGUCUGCCUGGGCGUCACACAACGUUGCCCCCCUAAAUCCCUCUGACACUAUCCAAUAUGGUGCAUAGGGACCACGAGUGGCGGAUAAUGGCCUCCCGUGGGCCACGGCUCGCGGUUGGUCUAAAUUUGAGUCCUCGGUCAUGGUUUCUGUGGCGAUAGGUGGUUGUCGAUCGUUCGGUGCCCCGCCACGUGAUCCGGACAAAAGCAUCGAGAGACUUGACAAACUUGACCCCAAUGCGCCCCAUGUAGGCGCUUCCAACGCGACCCCAGGUCAGGCGGGGCU
rnacentral:rRNA from 1 species